GGGGGAGGCCAACAGUGGGAGCAUAGCCAUUGAACUUCUCAGAUUGAAGAGAAUCAAGGACGGCGUCUUGAGCGAUACGGGUAGUAUGAAAACAAGAAUAAGCAGAAGGGUCACCCAUGCCAAGGGAAAUCAGUCUUCUGCCAUUGUUCUCAUCGACGUUCUGAACAAGGAGACUGAGAAUGCCUUUGAUGGUGAUAGUUGAAGCUGUGUCCAUUUCAGGGUUCACAGCUUCAAUC
rnacentral:misc_RNA from 1 species